rnacentral:tRNA from 1 species
GCCUCAUUGGUCUAACGGCGAUGACAAAUGGCUUCCACCCAUUAGAUGCCGGUUCGAUUCCGGCAUGAGGCUCCA